AUGUACAAUGGGUCAGAAGUAACUUGCUAUGAUGAGUUGCGCUUAACCAAAAGGAAUUUUCAUGAUCUUUGCACGAUGUUGCGUAUGAAGUGUGGUCUGAAAGAUAGCGUAUAUGUCACUAUAGAAGAAAAGGUUGCUAUGUUCUUGUUGGUGGUUGGACAUGGUAUUAAAAUGAGAGUGUUGCGUGGCACUUACAAACGUUCUUUAGAGACUAUCAGUAGGCACUUCUCGAAUGUGCUGACAACCAUUCUUUCCCUAACCGGGGAGUUUAUCAAGCUUCCCGAUCCUUCUAUUGAACCUCCGGAUGAUUACAAAUGGAAGUGGUUUGGAAAUGCCUUGGGAGCACUAGAUGGGUGUCAUGUUGAUGUUUCUGUCGUUGCGGCUGACGAAGGGAGGUAUAGGAACAGAAAGCGAGAUAUCACCACUAACAUGCUAGGUGUUGUUGACUGGAACAUGAAAUUUCUUUAUGUUCUACCUGGCUGGGACGGAUCUGCAUCUGACUCCAGAGUGUUGCGUGAUGCAAUGAGAAAUGAUCGUCAAGAUGCAUUUGUUAUACCUCAUGGAAAAUACUACUUAGUGGAUGCUGGCUACACCAAUGGACCUGGAUUUCUGGCUCCAUUCAGAUCGACUAGAUACCACUUGAAAGAGUGGGUCUCAAGUCAACAACAACCCCAAACUGACAAAGAGUUGUAUAACUUGCGCCAUUCUCGGGCUAGAAAUGUUGUGGAGAGAACUUUUGGCCUAUGGAAGAAAAAAUGGGCUAUUCUACGAAUUCAAUCUUUCUUUGACAUAAAGGACCAGAUUCGAAUUAUUAAUGCUUGUUGUGUGUUAUACAACUUUGCAAGGGAUAGGCAGCAUGUGAUGGAUGAUUUAUUGCUACAAGAAGUUGAUGCUGACCUAGCAAAUUUGGAACAUGAGCCCAUGGACGAAACUGACUUGAUUACAUCUAUUCAAGUCACUAAUGAAUGGACCAACUUUAGGCAACAAUUAUCGCAAGACAUGUAUGCUGAAUACCUUCUCAAGCAUGCUGAAUUAGAGAUGGCCAGCAUGGCUGAAGGAACUGAUACUGGAAAGAGGACUUAUGUCACAUGGGAUGAUGAGAUGGACACUGCCUUGCUUGAGGUACUUGUUCAUCAUCACAACAUGGGUGACCAUUCACAAAAUGGAUGA
rnacentral:rRNA from 1 species